AUACUUACCUGGACAGGGUCAAUGAGUGAUCAUGAAGACUCAUGGCCUAGAGCAGUGACCACCAUUGCACUUUGGAUGGGUGCUGCUUUAAGGUCUCCCGAGGAGGGAGAGCCUAUGUCAUAAUUUGUGGCAGUGGGGCUUGCGUACGCGCAGCCUCUAC
rnacentral:snRNA from 1 species